CUUCCGAUAAGGACCGUUGUCUUCUCGGGUAUAUAUUUCAUAUCAGCAAGAAAUACGUUUUUGUUGUUUUUAAAAAUUAUUAUACUACUACCCACCUUUGUGGGGUUAGGGUUCCCACACAAACAUAUUUCCAUGUUACAGCGGACAGACAGAAGACAAAGUCCACUGCCUAUGCUAAUUAACUGCUUCUCCAAACACCUGUGUGUAAACAGAAGACUGAUGCCACAAAGUGCUGUCACUGAAAAAUACUGUCUGCUGCAACUGUUUUAAAACCGGUUUGAACCGUGUACAGCUGUCGUGUUUGUGAAGACCAGAAGAGGCUGGUGGGAAGAGAAAUGGGAGGACGGGCUCAUUGUAAUGAUACCAAACACAUGGAAACAAUGUGUUUGACUCCGUUCCAGCUAUUCCUUUCACACACAAGAUCAGACACUCAUCUCAGGAGUGGAAGACGAAUUAGAUUGACCCAACUAGUUCCUUCAACGGGCCUUUGAAGUCUGACUUCCAGUCUGAGUCUCCCUCCAUGGAUAGAAUUGCGAUUACACUGCAUAGACAUGGCACGUCAAAUUGACACAUUUUCUUUCAAUGCUCAUAAGCUAAAGAGCUGGUCACCCCAGAAAGACUAUGCCAACAAAUCCAACAAUGUAGGGCUACUAGUGUAACAUGUGUGUCAUGGAAUGGAAAGAGAGUAUUUCUCAGUGAGUUGCUAUAACAGAUAUUUGCACAGAUGCUCACCUUUCCAGAGAACUUUCACAAAAAAACUUGUUACCCACCCAAUCCAUAUCUGCCAAAUAAUGCUUUAAAAUCAAUGACGUUUGUUGGAGGGGUAUUACAUCCAUACUGUAUCUGAUUAACCAUUUAAUAUGUCACCAUAAAUCAGCCUAGGGCUCUAAACCUGUACCUGUUGUCGUCAGGACCUUCCAUUUAUCUGUUAUUAAUGUGUCAUCUACAAAUUAGGUUAUGGGAAGUUAAAGAAAUUACAACAUUGUUCUCGGUAGGUAUGGUUCUGUAACCUAUCAAAUAACUGUUCUGUCUGGAACAGACAUCUAAUAGUUUGUUUUGAAGGAAAAGUAAGAGAUUAUUCCAACUGAUUGUAUGGUUAUUACACAGUAAUAAUUAUUACUGAUUGGAUGUUAUUAUACAGUAAUUAUUAUAACUGAUUGUAUAUUACACAGUAAUUGUUAUUACUGAUUGUAUAGGUCAUUACACAGUAUGAUACUUUAGAUGUUGCAGGUUGUACUAUUGCUGCUGCUAAUGUUGAUCAUUAGUAUUGUUUAUAUUUAUAUUGAUGGCUGUCAGCCCAUGACUGAUGCACUUGCAUUGUAUGUAUUACCUCUGGGACAAAUAAAGUGGAAACC